UAGAUUGAAGCCAGUUGAUUAGGGUGUUUAGCUGUUAAUUAAAUUUUCGUGGGUUUAAGUCCCGUCAAUCUAG
rnacentral:tRNA from 2 species